AUCUGGGCGGCGGAAUUCAGGAUGGCUGGCGUGCUCCGCGCGUCGGUCGUUUGAUAUUUCCGUCGCCAAUUAACCGCAGACGUCGCGACCUGUUCGCGGUCGGUCCCUGCUCGGAGGAGCCGCGUUCGAGCUCGUUGUGUGCGCGUUUCGGCGUGUCACCGGCGAAGGCGCGGAUCUCUGGCUGGCCGUCGGACAGUAUGCUUAACGGUGUCCGGUGUCGUCGUCUCGUACGCGCGGCAUCGGUACCGGUCAGCGACGAAUUCUUCGGGCCUCUUUCCGACCCGUCUUGAAACACGGACCAAGGAGUCUAACAUGCGCGCGAGUCGCGGGGUAUCGAGCGUACUUCGGUGCGUUCGUUAUGUUGCGAAACCCGUACAUGUUGAAGGCGUAAUGAAAGUGAAUGGGGAAGAUGGUGUUCCGAGUACACGUUCCGCGAUCGUCGGUAUCGCGGCCGGGCACCCGCAUUCCCGGGGCGUCUCACCGGCCCGUCGUUGAUGCGGACAGUCGUCUCUCGGGGCGGCUGUCGGUCGGCGACGAACCGA
rnacentral:rRNA from 1 species